rnacentral:rRNA from 1 species
UACGGAGGGUGCGAGCGUUAUCCGGAAUCACUGGGUUUAAAGGGUGCGUAGGCGGUUUGAUAAGUCAGUGGUGAAAGGCCGUCGCUUAACAAUGGGACUGCCAUCGAUACUGUUAGACUUGAAUCAGGAUGAGGUUGGCGGAAUAUGGCAUGUAGCGGUGAAAUGCUUAGAUAUGCCAUGGAAUACCGAUUGCGAAGGCAGCUGACUGGACCUGAAUUGACGCUGAGGCACGAAAGCGUGGGGAGCGAACAGGAUUAGAUACCCUGGUAGUCCACGCCCUAAACGAUGCUUACUCGUUGUUUGAUCUAAGGAUUGAGUGACUAAGCGGAAGCGAUAAGUAAGCCACCUGGGGAGUACGACCGCAAGGUUGAA